rnacentral:rRNA from 1 species
CCCUCCCUUGCUUUUCCCGCCUAUAUACCACCGUCGUCAGCUUACCCUGUGAAGGUUUUAUAGUAAGCAAAGUUGGCACAGCCUAAAACGUCAGGUCGAGGUGUAGUGCAUGAGAGGGGAAGAAAUGGGCUACAUUCGCUACCGAUAGCGAAUUACGAAUGUUGCAUUGAAACAUGCAGCUGAAGGAGGAUUUAGCAGUAAGCAGAAAGCAGAGCGUCCCGCUGAAACUGGCCCUAAAGCGCGCACACACCGCCCGUCACCCUCCCCAAGCUUCCGGCCCUAAUUAAUUAAAACCCUACAACUGCAAAGGAGAGGAAAGUCGUAACAUGGUAAGUGUACCGGAAGGUGCGCUUGGAAAAAU